GGUGGGUAAUCCGACCUUUCUCUCUGGCUGCCCUUAACAUUUUUUCCUUCAUUUCAACCUUGGUGAAUCUGAUGAUUAUGUGUCUUGGGGUUGCUCUUCUCGAGGAGUGUCUUUGUGGUGUUCUCUGUAUUUCCUGAAUUUGAAUGUUGGACUGUCUUGCUAGGUUGGGGAAGUUCUCUUGCAUAAUAUCCUGAAGAGUGUUUUCCAGCUUGGUUCCAUUUUUUCCCAUCACUCUCAGGUACACCAAUCAAACAUAGGUUUCUUCUUUUCACAUAGUCCCAUAUUUCUUGGAGGCUUUGUUCAUUCCUUUUCUUUUCUUUUUCUCUAAUCUUGUCUUCACGCUUUAUUUCAUUAAGUUGAUCUUCAAUCUCUGACAUCCUUUCUUCUGAUUCAUCGAUUUCGCUAUUGAUACUUGUAUAUGCUUCACAAAGUUCUCGUGCUGUGUUUUUCAGCUCCAUCAGGUCAUUUAUGUUCUUCUUUAAACGGGUUAUUCUAGUUAGCAUUUCCUGUAACCUUUUAUCAAGGUUCUUAGCUUCCUUGCAUUGGGUUAGAACAUGCUUCUUUAGCUCGGAGGAGUUUGUUAUUACCCACCUUCUGAAGCCUGCUUCUGUCACUUCGUCAGACUCAUUCUCCAUCCAGUUUUGUUCCCUUGCUGGUGAGGAGUUGUGAUCCUUUGGAAGAGAAGAGUUAUUCUGAUUUUGGGAAUUUUCAUCCUUUUUGCACUGGGUUUUCCUCAUUUUCGUGGAUUGAUCUACCUUUGGUCUUUGAUGUUGGUGACCAUCGGAUGGGGUUUUUGUGUGGACGUCCUUUUUGUUGAUGUUGAUGCUAUUCCUUUCUGUUUGUUAGUUUUUUUCCUAACAGGCCCCUCUGCUGCAGGUCUUUGGGAGUUGGCUGGAGGUCCACUUCUGCCCCUGUUUGCCUGGGUAUCACCAGCGGAGGCUACAGAAUAUCAGGUUGCUGCCUGCUCCUUCCUCUGGAAGCUUUGUCCCAGAGGGCACCCCCCAGAUGCCAGCUGGAGCUCUGCUGUAUGAUGUGUCUGUCGACACCUGUUGGGAGGUGUCUCCCAGUCAGGAGGCAUGAACAUCAGGGACCCACUUGAGGAGGCAGUCUGUCCAUUAGCAGAGCUUGAGCACUGUGCUGGGAGGUCUACUGCUCUCUUCAGAGACAGCAGGCAGGAACAUUUAAGUCUGCUGAAGCUGCGCCCACAGCCGCCCCUUCCCCUAGGUGCUCUGUCCUAGGGAGGUGGGAGUUUUAUCUAUAAGCCCCUGACUGGGGCUGCUGCCUUUCUUUCGGAGAGGAGGAAUCUAGAGAGGCAGUUUGGGUACAGCAUCUUUGCUGAGCUGUGGUGGGCUCUGCCCAGUUUGAACUUCCCAGUGGCUUCGUUUACACUGUGAGGGGGAAACCGGCUACUUAGGCCUCAUUAAUGGUGGACACCCCUCUCCCCACCAAGCUCGAGCGUCCCAGGUCGACUUCAGACUGCUGUGAUGGCAGUGAGAAUUUGAAGCCAGUGGAUCUUAGCUUGCUGGGCUCCAUGGGUGUGGGAUCUGUUGAGCUAGGCCAUUUGGCACCCUGGCUUCAGCCCCCUUUCCAGGGGACUGAACAGUUCUGUCUCGCUGGCAUUGCAGGCACUACUGAGACGAGCCGGGUACCUCAGUUGGAAAUGCAGAAAUCACCCGCCUUCUGCAUUGAUCUCACUGGAAGCUGCAGACCGGAGCUGUUCCUAUUCAGCCAUCUUGCCAGCCACCCUAGUCAUUUUUAAAAGCAUCAACCAGUGUGAUAUUUGAUUAUCAUUUUUAUAUAGUAGCUCAUGCUAUUGAUAUGUUUGUAUGAUAGUCUUUAUAAUUUAUCAUGAAAGCAGAUCUGUUUUUCUGCCUGCCAAAAUGUUAGCUGUAAUUGAGUAACUCAUUAAUGUAACUAAUUGUAUACUUAUUUUUGCACACUUGUGGUCUUUAAAUGAAUGUGCCUUUUCUUGAAUUCCGGCCAAAAAAUGAGGCCGCUUCAGUGUCUUUGACCUUUCUGUGCCUGACAUGAAAACAAUGUUUUGAGGUUGUCCUCCCACGUACCACACGGCAUAAAAGAUUGGUUUUGCCAUAGUCUAGUGAUAGCAGCUUUAUGUGUGCACUCUAAUGGGAAAAGGGGGGUGUCUGACUAGUCCAAGAUAACAAUACAAUGCAGUGUCUGGGACGGAACCUUUUUAAAAUAUAUGUUCAUUUUUAGAAAAAGUCAUUACUGUGCUUGCUGCCUGUCUGGAAAGUGAGAAUCAAAAUGCUCAGAGGAUUGGAGCAGCUGCGCUUUGGGCUCUGAUAUACAAUUAUCAGAAGGUCAGUUUUAAAAAUCAUUGUUACACCUGGGGAGCAAACAACGAGGUAUAACCCAGGUAUAAACUCUUAGGAUACAUCCAAAGGUGUCAAGAGUUACAGCAAAAGAAAAAAGACAAAAUCAAAGACCCGUGUUCCCUUUGCUCAUUCAUACAAUUAGUAAACCAUCAGUUGAAAUCUUUUUAUUUAAUCAUUUCAACAGAAUGUCUCAGUUUAGAAGAGAAUCUCUGAACUGACUUUUUCCUCUUAAUUUAAAUUGAUUUACUGUAUUAUUGCAAUUUUAGUAUAGAUUGUUUCUUCUAAAAGAUGUAUCAAGGGAAAACACAUCUUAAAGUAAAACUGAGUAACAAAAGUUUUAUCCAGUUGUACAAUUCCCCUUUCUCUAGCUCAGUUCUUGUAAGACUGCAGCACAAAGCCUGCUCUGAGAAAAGGGCAGGCAACGUGGAGAUUUGUGUUCUACUCUUUCUCUGGCCUUUGGACUUCUGCUUUAUUGCAGACAUCUCAUUCCUAAGAGAAAUACCCAUAAGUAUCUAGUGAUUAAAUAGUAGCCAAGUGACAGUGUUAGGAUAGACAGCCAUCCUAGAACGGUGUUCUCUCAGCUGACUGUCUCUGCCUGGGCUAGUUUUCUCCCUGCUGGCCAGAGUCACGUACACAAGGACAAGAGGCUGUUGUUUUCUUUCUCACCUGGGUAUCCCCAGAGCUUAGCACAGGAUUUGGCACUUUGUAGUUACUCCAUAAAUAUUUGUUGGCCAACUGCUAACAUUUGGUAUACGUGAUCAGAAAUCUGAGGUUCGAGGGAAUAUGAAAAACUGAAACCAAGUUUGACUAGUUUAAAAUAGCAAAUUGAGAUUGGGGGAGAAGGAGUAAAAGAGAAGGGAAGAAAGAAAAUGGGAAUAGAGAAAGAAUCAAGUUAGAUAAGAGGAUAUGGGCAAGACUUCAGAAUGUGCAAGGGGAUUGGCUCAAUAGGAUGUAUUAUACCAAGAUAGAACUCUCUAGUUAUAUUAUUAUAUUUCAUAAUAUUCUGUUUAAUACUGUAGUUAGCAAUGGGCAGAAUUAGUGUUUUGCUAUCAUGAUCCAUAACACAUGGCAAGAAACCUAAUUAAUGGAUUGUUCUAGGCAAAAACAGCUUUGAAAAGCCCAUCAGUAAAAAGAAGAGUGGAUGAAGCAUACUCCUUAGCAAAGAAAACUUUCCCAAACUCAGAAGCAAACCCUCUAAAUGCCUAUUACUUGAAAUGUCUUGAAAACCUCGUGCAACUCCUUAAUUCUUCCUGAGUGCCAUGAGAUGCUACACCUUGAAGCUGACAGUCAUCAACAGGGGAGCUAAAGUUGAAGCCAGCUGUGUGUAGCAGCUGUUACCUGAAGACAUGCUACCUCUCUACAAAGUGUUGAUCCCCUUCUUUCCCAUCAGAGAGAGAACUGGUGAUACUCCAACACCGUCCGGUCGUGGCAGCUCUCCAGAAGUAAUAGCAGCUGACAAGUUUCUGUGCCUUUUCCUUUCUGUUGAAAAGGCAUAGAAAGUUCUGGGAACAUAAACAUUUUUACCCUUUUCUAUGCCAUUUAUUUUGUAAAAAUCCUAUUUAACAGUUAUUUAAUAAAACAAUAU
rnacentral:sRNA from 1 species